AUUCCAGCUCCAAUAGCGUAUAUUAAAGUUGUUGCAGUUAAAACGCUCGUAGUCGGAUUUCGGGGCGGGCCGACCGGUCUGCCGAUGGGUAUGCACUGGCCGGCGCGUCCUUCCACCCGGAGACCGCGCCUACUCUUAACUGAGCGGGCGCGGGAGACGGGUCUUUUACUUUGAAAAAAUCAGAGUGUUUCAAGCAGGCAAUUGCAGGAAUACAUUAGCAUGGAAUAACGAACGGGUCUACAAUUUGGUUGAUUGUAGAUUGCGAUUAAUAGGGACAGUUGGGGGCAUUAGUAUUUAAUUGUCAGAGGUGAAAUUCUUGGAUUAGUUAAAGACUAACGUAUGAGAAAGCAUUUGCCAAGGAUGUUUUCAUCA
rnacentral:rRNA from 1 species